AUCCCUUGGCAGAGUGCAAUUCAACAGAGCAUGUGUAGUUUCUGGUCUUAUCAGUUUAAUAUCUGAUAUGUCUUCGAUGUGAAGACGCUGUGUUAAGCAGCUUUUUGGAGAAAGGAGGUGGGGUGGGAGCUUGCUCUGUCCCCUCCAUGCAUCGGCCUGGUAUUGCAGUACUUCACAGUCUAGAAGGGAUUUCC